UCUUCUUUUCUUAAGCAUAGCAAAUAUGUGUAAAGCUAUUUAUUUGUUUAGCCUGACUUACUGUGACAAUGGUCUGCUCUGGAACUAAAUCCCAAGGAGUAUUUUAGUGCAUGAAGCUGCAUGUUUUUCAGCCUCCAGUGAAGGUCCUGAGAGCUGAAUUCUCCAGUUGUUCAUUGUUCCAUUCUUUCAGACUUGGUCAUGUGGUGCUGGAAGCAGCAGCACCACCAAGCACUGCAAAUGCUUUUCUGCUCUACCCCGUACGUCCUGGAAUCGUGCAGCAUUCAGCAAGAACAUGGUAUGGGUGCCAAAGAAUUAAUGAUCUUUAAUAACCCUGUGGUGGAAUGGCCUACUUUUAUAGCAGCAAGUUUAUGCCUAAUGAGAUACAGAUAUUCCCCUCUCCAUAUUUCUGUCCAAUAUAUGCUGCAGGAUAAAAAAAAUUGGCAUGCUGCUGGUGUUCAACAAGGGCCUGAUUCACAGGGAUACAGACUGACAGAGCCCAAGAUCUUCCAUAAGCAUACACUAAACCCUAAGGCAGAAAUUCAGCAGUUUUUUGGUUGUUUUGCUUUCUGAAACCAGAAAGGGUUUUUUGAAGCAUUUGAAGCAGGAGCUGAUUGAGCACCUCUCAGGACUCAUCCUUGUAGCUGUGGUGAUUUCAGUUUGAACCAACUCAAACCACCAAAACAAAGAGACUCUGAGCUCUCCUGUCUCCUGUGCUCUGCUCCUCAGCCUGAGUAACAGAGCAGCUGGAACACAAGGACUCACCAAAGGAACAGUUGUGUUUAUUCCAUUACUCAACAGCCAUUACCCAGAUGAAGUCAUAAUAGCCAAUAAGACCCCAUAAAAUGAUAAUGCUUGAGAAUACCUUAACUUGUCUGAAUGUAACCCCAAAUUAAUAACGUUUGAAUAUUCUCUUCCCAGCUUCUUCACUGCAGUAGAACAGCUAUAGCACUUAAUCUAGUUAUUGCUCUGGAAAAAAAAGGAUUAUAGAUACCCGAGUGGCCAGUCCAUGGUAAUGAUUUCAGCUGGAAGUUUUUGACUCUAAGAAAAAAAACCAAUCAUGGCACCUUAACCAGAGAUGAGAACUUCAGCAAAUAAAAGCCAACUGUGUGUACACCUACAUGUUUUUGUCCAUGUUAUGCAGAAUACCCUUUAUUUUGUUUGUUUGGGUUUUUCUCUUGCAGUAGUUUUCCAUUCUAUUAAUUUCCUCACUCCCAGCCAGGGCCCCCAAAAACCAAAGGAUUAAAUUAAAAGGAACAAAUUCAGUUGAAAUGAGAAGUGUUAUUUUCUGGUAUAAAUCAUCUCACCAGAUCACAGCAAGCUUUUACCUUUGCAAGGCAGUUCUCUCACUCCUGGUAGGACAUAAGCUACCAGAGUACAGACUGUACUAACAGCCAUUAUUUCAAAUGUGGGACCUCAUCAGGCAGUGAUGGGACAAACACACCUGAACCUCUAGCAAAUA